AUACAAAGCAUGCAGGUUACAAUGCUGCCGUCCACCCCAUGUGUUCACUAUUAAUGGCUAAUAAGACAGAGAGGGGUAUUUUUUUGAAUCAUACAUACUUAUUAGCCAUUAAUAGGGAACACAUGGGGUGGACGGCAGAAUUGUAACAUGGCUGUGUGAU